CGAACGGGUGAGUAAUGCGUGACCAACCUGCCCCAUGCUCCAGAAUAGCUCUUGGAAACGGGUGGUAAUGCUGGAUGCUCCAACUUGACGCAUGUCUUGUUGGGAAAGUGUUUAGUGGCAUGGGAUGGGGUCGCGUCCUAUCAGCUUGUAGGCGGGGUAAUGGCCCACCUAGGCUUCGACGGGUAGCCGGCCUGAGAGGGCGGACGGCCACAUUGGGACUGAGAUACGGCCCAGACUCCUAGGGAGGCAGCAGGC
rnacentral:rRNA from 1 species